rnacentral:rRNA from 1 species
UGCGCAGGUGGGCUUGUAAGUCAGUGGUGAAAUACUGCCGCUUAACGGUAGAACUGCCAUUGAUACUGCAAGUCUUGAGUAUGGUUGAGGUAGGCGGAAUGUGUUGUGUAGCGGUGAAAUGCAUAGAUAUGACACAGAACUCCAAUUGCGAAGGCAGCUUACUAAGCCAUUACUGACGCUGAGGCACGAAAGCGUGGGUAGCGAACAGGAUUAGAUACCCUGGUAGUCC